GGUUCAUUCAAAUUUCUGCCCUAUCAACUUUCGAUGGUAGGAUAGUGGCCUACCAUGGUAUCAACGGGUAACGGGGAAUUAGGGUUCGAUUCCGGAGAGGGAGCCUGAGAAACGGCUACCACAUCCAAGGAAGGCAGCAGGCGCGCAAAUUACCCAAUCCCGACCGGGGAGGUAGUGACAAUAAAUACUGAUACAGGGCUCUUUUGGGUCUUGUAAUUGGAAUGAGUACAAUUUAAACCUCUUAACGAGGAACAAUUGGAGGGCAAGUCUGGUGCCAGCAGCCGCGGUAAUUCCAGCUCCAAUAGCGUAUAUUAAAGUUGUUGCAGUUAAAAAGCUCGUAGUUG
rnacentral:rRNA from 1 species